UUGACCUCAAAUCAGGUAGGACUACCCGCUGAACUUAAGCAUAUCAAUAAGCGGAGGAAAAGAAACUAACAAGGAUUCCCCUAGUAACUGCGAGUGAAGCGGGAAAAGCUCAAAUUUUGAAUCUGGCAGUCUUUGCAGGCCGUCCGA
rnacentral:rRNA from 1 species